GCAUCCCCGAGUCUCCUAGCAACAGGUAUCCCAUAGCAACCAGCCAGCUCAGCUGCAAGGUGACUGGUUGGAAGAGCCCAUAGGACCUGCCUUGUGCACACCAUCAAUGGGGCUCACGUGCAGUCCUGGGGUCCUCAGCCCACUGCCCUACCUGCCCUCAGAGUCCUGGAGAGCACAGUCUUAUGAACUCAUCCAUUCUGACAGGUUUCCUAUCUCCAUGGGCAAUAAUGGUGGUACCUGGUUCCACACCAGGUUCAGUCACUGCUUGGAGGAAACAGUUGCUUCCAGGCAGCUGGAGGGACUCUAAGAGGAGAAAUUCAUCACUAAUCACACUCCAAAGGACUUUUAUCCUGGAUCAUCAAGAAGUCUCCUUGUGAAGCAGAGAAGAUAAGAAAUAGACACCUUUGGGGUGGGGGGGGUGCCAAAUUUAUUCAUAAAGCAUUUUUACUGCUUCAUCCUUUUCCACCAAAAUUCUUUUAUCUAUGUGAUUACAAGAAACUCAUCCACCAUAAUCAAAAAUUAUGCCAUGCAAGGGCCCCUGAGAGGACCAGAAACAAGAGGACCAUUUUCAAGAUGUACAUGAAGUCUUGAAAAUUGCAAAAACAAUUGUAUUUUCCUAUAAAGUGUACCUCCAAAUAUGAAAAAUACUCCAGGCCACUAUUUUGUUUACCACCUCACUAGUACAAGGCCCCCCAGUUGUCUUUCUUCCUCUUGCUUCUGCUUUUUUUCUCAUUAAUAAUCUAGCAUAAAAUAUAACAAUUGGUUUUAUAAACUUGUUCUCCUACUAGCAUCCAAGUAGUUGAUUUCCUUUGAUAAUUAAAAAAAGAAGUAAUUAUAGAUUUAUAUAGUUUUGUCAGUCAUGCCACUUACACAGAAAGUCAUGUGACUGUCACAAUCUUUGAAAUAUGUAAGAAAAUCAAGAGAAUAAAUUCAAGAUAUAAUUUUGCAAAUCAUAUUAAUUCCCAGCUAAAAAGUUGUAUCUAUCAUGUUGUUGUUUAGUCACUCAAUUUUGUCCAACUCUUUUGCGACCCCGUGGACAAUAGCCCACCAGGCUCCUCUGUCUAUUGGAUUUCUUAGGCAAGAAUCCUGGAGUGGGCUGCCGUUUCCUCCUCCACGGGAUCUUCCUGACCUAAGGAUUGAACCUAUAUCUCCUCCACUGGCAGGCAGAUUCUUUACAGUCUGAGCCACCAGAGAAGCCCUGUAUCAAUUAUAUCUUACAUUAUAUCAUGUAAAAUACAUAGAUAAGGAGUAAUCCUUCUAUUCACAUUUCCACACU
rnacentral:lncRNA from 1 species